GGGCCCGCACAAGCGGUGGAGCAUGUGGUUUAAUUCGAUGAUACGCGAGGAACCUUACCAGGGUUUAAAUGCAGAACGACAGGGGUGGAAACACCCCCUUCUUCGGACGGACUGCAAGGUGCUGCAUGGUUGUCGUCAGCUCGUGCUGUGAAGUGUCGGGUUAAGUCCCAUAACGAGCGCAACCCCCAUUUCUAGUUGCCAGCGGUUCGGCCGGGGACUCUAGAGAAACUGCCAGCGUAAGCUGUGAGGAAGGUGGGGAUGACGUCAAAUCAUCACGGCCCUUACAUCCUGGGCCACACACGUGCUACAAUGGUGGGGACAACAGGUUGCCAACCCGCGAGGGUGAGCCAAUCCCAAAACCCCAUCUCAGUUCGGAUCGGAGUCUGCAACUCGACUCCGUGAAGGAGGAAUCGCUAGUAAUCGCAGGUC
rnacentral:rRNA from 1 species